CUCUUUGGGUACAAGCUGGUUCUCUUCGCUGGGCACCAUUUCCAUUUGGGCGACAGUUAAGCGGACAUCUACCCGGGCUCCGAUGUCAACAGCAGCUCUUUGCGGCGGUGUGGAGGAACAUUAUUCGCGUGUCAGCCGAAAUCCAGACCUCAUCAUGCCAUUUGCCCUGCGCUGAGAGAGAGAGAACAACGCAGCUUUCUCGUUUGCCUCCUGUUGGUUCCUUCUUGGCACGAUCCCAGUUGAAGUUUCGUGGCGUGGCCAAGGUCCCACCCUGGGCGAUGCAGUCCUCGUUGGCCUCAUGAUAGUGCUUGGGCUCUUCCACAGCCAGAUGGGACUGCUUUUCUGGAGCGGGACGGACGGCCAAAUCCGAGGUGGAGCAGUGUGCAGCCAAGCAGCAAGACAAGAAGGAGGCGAGCAAAAGCCAUGACUGAAGCGGAGAGCGCCCAGCACAAACAGGGGCUACCUUUAUAUCAGUGGCAGAAGCCCCUAAGAGAGCGGACAACUCCCCAAAUCCAGCCCAGCACUUUGCUCGCACGCUCUCAGCCCAUUGGCUAAGAGUGCAGAGCUCCGAGAACGAGGACUGGAAUACCGAGGACACUGUUAUGCAGAACCAGUAACGGAAUCAAGGGACGAAGUGAAAUUUUGCCUCAUUUAUAUUUAGUAAAUAAAUAGAAGUGAGUAUUGAGUAUAAAAUACUAAUAGAUAUAUAUCAGUACUUGUUGUGUCCACACUUUGCAUUUAUUACAGCUUCCAUUCUUUUCAGGUCACUUUUAGUUUUUCAAAGAAAUCUAGAUGGAUAUUUUUUCCACACCUCCAAAGUUCAGUCUUAGAAGUUGAUUGUGUUUCUGCUUCUUACAAGCCAAGCAGAGGGGAACACUCUGGGCCUUCUAGGGCCUUCAGAAAAGGCCUAAUGAUUUCUGGGAACUAAAAAAAUGCAUGCCAUGCAUUAUUUAGUUCAUUUUUAUUAAAAACAAUCAUGAUUGUAUUUAAACUCUGCAAGUAUUACAGCACUACUUUUUCAUUGUUAAGUUUCAUUGUUACGUUUUGGAUGGAAACAAAAGGAUUCAAUUCUUGAAAUCAGAUUCAGUGGAAAAUAGAAAUUUGCCAAUCAGGAAUUGUUUUUCUGUGGUAUCUAGGUAGAUAUAGCUAAGUGAGCUCUCCUACUGGUGAAGAGGUCAAGAGCUGAAGAGAAGGCCUCAUGUGUCAUGUGUAUUAACCAUCAGCAUAACUACAACAAUAGCAACAGAGGAAUCAACAAAUCAUGGUUUGAUUUCUAAUAUGUGGGACUAAUUCUGUGGGAAAAAUCUCACUCUGGGUCUUCUGGAAGUCCCAGAUGUGUCACUGACUGUGAAUAUGAGCCUAAACAAUGGGCUGCUAGAAAUGGAAAACAGCGACGGCAGCUCUGUACCAGAGCUCACUACUGAGUCACUGUUAACCUGCUACAAGAUAAAAUAUAUGAUAAUAUGUCUGUCACAAGCUUCAAGAAGCUUAAAGUGAGUGUGUGUUUGAUCUAGAACAGCCAAAAAUGUUCAAUCACAAAUCACUGUUACCUUAGCACUAACAAACUACUUGAAUUCCAUAGGGACACUAGCAGAGAUUAGCACUCGGACUUGCUCUGACUCAUGAAUGACUCAAACUUGCCUGUAACUGACUUGCAACUCAACUCGGACUGCCCUUUAACUGGCCCGUGACUGGACUUGAACGUGCUGUUAACUGGCUCAUGAGUGACCCACACUCACCUUUACAUGACUUCCAACUUGACUCUGAUUCGCCUUUACCUGACUUGCAACUCAACUAGGAUUCGCCUUUACCCGACUCAGAAAUGACUCAAACCCGCCUUUACCUCACUCGUAACUCAACUGGAUUCAAAUUAGCCCAACUUGCCUUUACCUGAUUUGCGAUUUGACUCGAAUUCGCCUUUACCUGACUAAUGAAUGACUUUAACUCGCCUUUACAUGAUUUGCAACUAGACUUGCUUUGUUUUGACAUUUAUGGCCUGAAUUGACGGCCGAGCUCUAAGAGUCAGUUCACCACUGGAUCCAAAUAAUCCCAAAUGCAUUCAGUGAUGUCGGGGUCUGGACACUGGGGUGGCCAGUCCUUUGUUUUGAGAAGCAGUGUCUUUGCAAGUGUUGUUCUUUUUUGUCAAUUUCCUUUU